GCAGCCUAAGCCCCCUCAAGUCGAACGAGUUCUGAUUAUUGAAAGGUGCUUGCAUCUUGAUUUAAUUUUGAACGAGUGGCGGACGGGUGAGUAACACGUGGGUAACCUGCCCUUAAGUGGGGGAUAACAUUUGGAAACAGAUGCUAAUACCGCAUAAAUCCAAGAACCGCAUGGUUCUUGGCUGAAAGAUGGCGUAAGCUAUCGCUUUUGGAUGGACCCGCGGCGUAUUAGCUAGUUGGUGAGGUAACGGCUCACCAAGGCAAUGAUACGUAGCCGAACUGAGAGGUUGAUCGGCCACAUUGGGACUGAGACACGGCCCAAACUCCUACGGGAGGCAGCAGUAGGGAAUCUUCCACAAUGGACGCAAGUCUGAUGGAGCAACGCCGCGUGAGUGAAGAAGGCUUUCGGGUCGUAAAACUCUGUUGUUGGAGAAGAAUGGUCGGCAGAGUAACUGUUGUCGGCGUGACGGUAUCCAACCAGAAAGCCACGGCUAACUACGUGCCAGCAGCGGGG
rnacentral:rRNA from 2 species